UUCAAAACAUUCCUCUACAAAAGACCCUGACUUCUGCUGUAGCUUACCUGAAACACUAGGACUCUGACCCUUUGCCUGAUGAGGAAUCUUGAAUCCAUGUUUCAUUCUCUUAAGACUGGGUAUACACAAACACAUCUUCAUUAUUUUUUCUU